rnacentral:rRNA from 1 species
GAUGAACGCUGGCGGCGUGCCUAAUACAUGCAAGUCGAGCGAACAGACGAGGAGCUUGCUCCUCUGACGUUAGCGGCGGACGGGUGAGUAACACGUGGAUAACCUACCUAUAAGACUGGGAUAACUUCGGGAAACCGGCGCUAAUACCGGAUGAUAUAUUGAACCACAUGGUUCAAUAGUGAGAGACGGUUUUUCUGUCACUUAUAGCUGGAUCCGCGCCGCAUUAGCUAGUUGGUAAGGUAACGGCUUACCAAGGCAACGAUGCGUAGCCGACCGGAGAGGGUGGUCGGCGACACUGGAAGUGAGACAGGGUCCAGACUCCUACGGGACGCAGCAGUAGGGAAUCGUCAGCAAUGGGGGAAAGCAUGACGGAGCAACGCCGCGUGAGUGAUGAAGGUCUUCGGAUCGUAAAACUCUGUUAUUAGGGAAGAACAAAUGUGUAAGUAACUAUGCACGUCUUGACGGUACCGAAUCAGAAAGCCACGGCUAACUACGUG